rnacentral:rRNA from 1 species
GAUGAACGCUGGCGGCGUGCCUAAUACAUGCAAGUCGAGCGAACAGACGAGGAGCUUGCUCCUCUGACGUUAGCGGCGGACGGGUGAGUAACACGUGGAUAACCUACCUAUAAGACUGGGAUAACUUCGGGAAACCGGAGCUAAUCCCGGAUAAUAUAUUGAACCGCAUGGUUCAAUAGUGAAAGACGGUUUUGCUGUCACUUAUAGAUGGAUCCGCGCCGCAUUAGCUAGUUGGUAAGGUAACGGCUUACCAAGGCAACGAUGCGUAGCCGACCUGAGAGGGUGAUCGGCCACACUGGAACUGAGACACGGUCCAGACUCCGACGGGAGGCAGCAGUAGGGAAUCUUCCGCAAUGGGCGAAAGCCUGACGGAGCAACGCCGCGUGAGUGAUGAAGGUCUUCGGAUCGUAAAACUCUGUUAUUAGGGAAGAACAAAUGUGUAAGUAACUAUGCACGUCUUGACGGGACCUAAUCAGAAAGCCACGGCUAACUACG